GGGCCGGUAGUUCAGUGGUAGAAACAGGCUUGAAAACCUGCUGAAGUGUCCGCCUCGCACGCGGGAGGUCGGGGGUUCAAAUCCCCCCCGGUCCA
rnacentral:tRNA from 1 species